GAUGAACGCUGGCGGCGUGCCUAAUACAUGCAAGUCGGGCGAACAGAUGAGGAGCUUGCUCCUCUGACGUUAGCGGCGGACGGGUGAGUAACACGUGGAUAACCUACCUAUAAGACUGGGAUAACUUCGGGAAACCGGAGCUAAUACCGGAUAAUAUAUUGAACCGCAUGGUUCAAUAGUGAAAGACGGUUUUGCUGUCACUUAUAGAUGGAUCCGCGCCUCAUUAGCUAGUUGGUAAGGUAACGGCUUACCAAGGCAACGAUGCGUAGCCGACCUGAGAGGGACGAUGGCCACAUUGGAACUGAGACAGGGCCCAGACUCCUACGGGAGGCCGCAGUAGGGAAUCUUCCGCAAUGGGCGAAUGCCUGACGGAGCAACGCCGCGUGAGUGAUGAAGGUGUUCUGAUCGUAAAACUCUGUUAUUAGGGAAGAACAAAUGUGUAAGUAACUAUGCACGUCUUGACGGUACCUAAUCAGAAAGCCCCGGCUAACUACGUG
rnacentral:rRNA from 1 species